rnacentral:rRNA from 1 species
GUUGAACGCUGGCGGCAUGCCUUACACAUGCAAGUCGAACGGCAGCGGACCUUCGGGUGCCGGCGAGUGGCGAACGGGUGAGUAAUAUAUCGGAACGUACCUUUCAGUGGGGGAUAACGUAGCGAAAGUUACGCUAAUACCGCAUAUUCUGUGAGCAGGAAAGCAGGGGAUCGCAAGACCUUGCGCUGAUUGAGCGGCCGAUAUCAGAUUAGCUAGUUGGUGAGGUAAAGGCUCACCAAGGCGACGAUCUGUAGCGGGUCUGAGAGGAUGAUCCGCCACACUGGAACUGAGACACGGUCCAGACUCCUACGGGAGGCAGCAGUGGGGAAUUUUGGACAAUGGGCGCAAGCCUGAUCCAGCCAUGCCGCGUGAGUGAAGAAGGCCUGGUUGUAAGACUCUUUCGGUCCGGGAAGAAAUACGCACAGGUUAAUACCUUAGUGUGGAUGACGGUACCGGAAGUAAGAAGACACCGG